UGCACCAUGGCCGCCGCGUCGCGUUCUACGUGACAAAUGCCGCAUGCGGUUCCUGCUCAUUUUCGGUGCUCUGUCAGAGAGCAUUUCUUCUGUCUACUUCGACGGGUUCAAAGUUGAAAUGCACGAGAUAUCUUGAAGACGAUGUACUACCGAACGUUGUCGCUCGAGAAUAUCGCCCUCGAUUACAAUUUACCUUUGAACCUUCACUUCGGUUUUCGUGCGGCCUUGCGGCACAUGGUAGUUAUAGUCACCCCCAGGAAGUGUUUGCCAGGGAAAUCUUGAUGGAGAAGUGCGACUUCUCAGACCUCGACCUGGAGAAAAUGGUCGACAACAUUGUGCGGCGGCUGCCCCAGUCGUACUCAACACCAGGACGAAAACCGGAAGAAAUCGUACUCGGAAUAACCAUGGGCCCUUCUGUGCUCAAAGGCUUGGAUAAUUUCGAACCUUACGGUCCAGUGUUCAGCUAUUGUCGAAAGGGCGCCAAGCUCGUCCAAUUAGACCUCGUCACUCAUCGCCCCAUGGAGCUCUCCGCGGCUUGGAAAACUUGCGAUGGAAAGGAGGGAGUCAUUGGAACUCACGGAACUGCCAGAGUUACGGUGACUUUCGAGGUGGUCAACGGGACUGGCGAAAAUAAUUUCCAGGAUAAAGGAAAGAAGCUGGUUCUUCACAGUGACCCGAAUCCUGUUGAAGUCAGUCUCAUUAGCGUGUACAUUCGAGGGGCAGGAGAACUGUUGAGUAACGUUGUAACAGCAUCUAGGUUAUUUCUGCCUAAGUUGCCCACGGAGUUAUUAACUAACGAAGUUACAUUUCGAUUCCGGCAGAUUCUCAAGGAUUUAACUGAACGGCCUUGACAGGCUGGUUAGGCAGAACGUAGUCACUCC